AGAGUUUGAUCAUGGCUCAGAACGUACGCUGGCGGCACGCCUAACACAUGCAAGUCGAACGAAGUAGCAAUACUUAGUGGCAGACGGGUGAGUAACAUGUAGGUAUCUGCCCUUUGGCCUGGAAUAACACGAGGAAACUUGUGCUAAUACCGGAUAAGUCUUUACGGAGAAAGCUUUAUGCACCAUUGGAUGAGCCUGCACUUGAUUAGUUUGUUGGUGGGGUAAUGGCCUACCAAGACUGUGAUCAAUAGCUGAUUUGAGAGGAUGAUCAGCCACAUUGGGACUGAGACACGGCCCAAACUCCUACGGGAGGCAGCAGUGGGGAAUCUUGCACAAUGGAGGAAACUCUGAUGCAGCGAUGCCGCGUGAGUGAAGAAGGCCCUUGGGUUGUAAAGCUCUUUCGUCGGGGAAGAAAAUGACUGUACCCGAAUAAGAAGGUCCGGCUAACUUCGUGCCAGCAGCCGCGGUAAUACGAAGGGACCUAGCGUAGUUCGGAAUUACUGGGCUUAAAGAGUUCGUAGGUGGUUGAAAUAGUUGGUGGUGAAAUCCCAGAGCUUAACUCUGGAACUGCCAUCAAAACUUUUCAGCUAGAGUAUGAUAGAGGAAAGCAGAAUUUCUAGUGUAGAGGUGAAAUUCGUAGAUAUUAGAAAGAAUACCAAUUGCGAAGGCAGCUUUCUGGAUCAUUACUGACACUGAGGAACGAAAGCAUGGGUAGCGAAGAGGAUUAGAUACCCUCGUAGUCCAUGCCGUAAACGAUGUGUGUUAGACGUUGGAAAUUUAUUUUCAGUGUCGCAGGGAAACCGAUAAACACACCGCCUGGGGAGUACGACCGCAAGGUUAAAACUCAAAUGAAUUGACGGGGACCCGCACAAGUAGUGGAGCAUGUGGUUUAAUUCGAAGAUACGCGCAGAACCUUACCAACACUUGACAUGUUCGUCGCGACUCUAAGAGAUUAGAGUUUUCGGUUCGGCCGGACGAAACACAGGUGCUGCAUGGCUGUCGUCAGCUCGUGUCGUGAGAUGUUGGGUUAAGUCCCGCAACGAGCGCAACCCUCACUUUUAGUUGCCAUCAUUAAGUUGGGCACUCUGAAAGAACUGCCAGUGAUAAGCUGGAGGAAGGUGGGGAUGACGUCAAGUCCUCAUGGCCCUUACGUGUUGGGCUACACACGUGCUACAAUGGUAUCUACAACAGGAAGCAAGACUGCGAAGUUAAGCAAAUCCCUAAAAGAUACCUCAGUUCGGAUUGCACUCUGCAACUCGAGUGCAUGAAGCUGGAAUUACUAGUAAUCGUGGAUCAGCGUGCCACGGUGAAUGCGUUCCCGGGUCUUGUACACACCGCCCGUCACACCAUGGGAGUUGGUUCUACCUUAAGGCAAGGUUUUAAACCCUUGACCACGGUAUAGUCAGCGACUGGGGUGAAGUCGUAACAAGGUA
rnacentral:rRNA from 1 species